UUCGGUAUAGUGUAACGGCUAGCACGGUCCGCUUUCACCGGGCAGAUCCGGGUUCGAUUCCCGGUACCGAAG
rfam:Tortispora caseinolytica NRRL Y-17796 unplaced genomic scaffold CANCAscaffold_1, whole genome shotgun sequence.